AUGAACGCUAGCUACAGGCUUAACACAUGCAAGUCGAGGGGCAGCAUGGUCUUAGCUUGCUAAGGCCGAUGGCGACCGGCGCACGGGUGAGUAACACGUAUCCAACCUGCCGUCUACUCUUGGACAGCCUUCUGAAAGGAAGAUUAAUACAAGAUGGCAUCAUGAGUCCGCAUGUUCACAUGAUUAAAGGUAUUCCGGUAGACGAUGGGGAUGCGUUCCAUUAGAUAGUAGGCGGGGUAACGGCCCACCUAGUCUUCGAUGGAUAGGGGUUCUGAGAGGAAGGUCCCCCACAUUGGAACUGAGACACGGUCCAAACUCCUACGGGAGGCAGCAGUGAGGAAUAUUGGUCAAUGGGCGAGAGCCUGAACCAGCCAAGUAGCGUGAAGGAUGACUGCCCUAUGGGUUGUAAACUUCUUUUAUAAAGGAAUAAAGUCGGGUAUGCAUACCCGUUUGCAUGUACUUUAUGAAUGAGGAUCGGCUAACUCCGUGCCAGCAGCCGCGGUAAUACGGAGGAUCCGAGCGUUAUCCGGAUUUAUUGGGUUUAAAGGGAGCGUAGAUGGAUGUUUAAGUCAGUUGUGAAAGUUUGCGGCUCAACCGUAAAAUUGCAGUUGAUACUGGAUAUCUUGAGUGCAGUUGAGGCAGGCGGAAUUCGUGGUGUAGCGGUGAAAUGCUUAGAUAUCACGAAGAACUCCGAUUGCGAAGGCAGCCUGCUAAGCUGCAACUGACAUUGAGGCUCGAAAGUGUGGGUAUCAAACAGGAUUAGAUACCCUGGUAGUCCACACGGUAAACGAUGAAUACUCGCUGUUUGCGAUAUACAGCAAGCGGCCAAGCGAAAGCGUUAAGUAUUCCACCUGGGGAGUACGCCGGCAACGGUGAAACUCAAAGGAAUUGACGGGGGCCCGCACAAGCGGAGGAACAUGUGGUUUAAUUCGAUGAUACGCGAGGAACCUUACCCGGGCUUAAAUUGCAGAUGAAUUACGGUGAAAGCCGUAAGCCGCAAGGCAUCUGUGAAGGUGCUGCAUGGUUGUCGUCAGCUCGUGCCGUGAGGUGUCGGCUUAAGUGCCAUAACGAGCGCAACCCUUGUUGUCAGUUACUAACAGGUUCCGCUGAGGACUCUGACAAGACUGCCAUCGUAAGAUGUGAGGAAGGUGGGGAUGACGUCAAAUCAGCACGGCCCUUACGUCCGGGGCUACACACGUGUUACAAUGGGGGGUACAGAGGGCCGCUACCACGCGAGUGGAUGCCAAUCCCAAAAACCUCUCUCAGUUCGGACUGGAGUCUGCAACCCGACUCCACGAAGCUGGAUUCGCUAGUAAUCGCGCAUCAGCCACGGCGCGGUGAAUACGUUCCCGGGCCUUGUACACACCGCCCGUCAAGCCAUGGGAGCCGGGGGUACCUGAAGUGCGUAACCGCGAGGAGCGCCCUAGGGUAAAACUGGUGACUG
rnacentral:rRNA from 1 species